GCGUGUGUGGAUGUGAGCACUCUUUUCUCUCCUAUUAUUUGAGUGGCUGCAGGUACUGGUGUCUGCCUCUUUGCCUCUGUGCUAGAGGGAUAAAGAGGGAAAGACAGAGGACUAGUGCUUCAUAUCCCCCCUCUGGCCUCCCCAUCUCCCUGCUCCCUGUCACUCCAUCCUUCCUUCCUCCCUCCCGGACCACCCGUCAGCGGCUGGAUCAACCUGCCCGGACCUUCCUCCCACAACCCCUUUGACUAUCCUCACUUCACCGUCCCAUCUUGUGAACUGAGUGCAGGAAUUUCUGGUUACUGGGAGCUGAAGACUGGAUUUGGCAGUGCAGUCACAGACAAUCUUGGUCUGAAAGAGCAGAACCUUUAAAUACAAAUUUAAAAGUAAACCUCCUGUACAGAGAAACAGUAAGGAGUUGCUCAGGGUGAGGUACACUGGACAGACGGAACUCUCCCGAGUCUUCUGGAAGUGUGGCAGCACGUGGUCACAUGACCUGGAAGAGAAAACCCAAGAGACUUCUGGGAUCCCUCUCUGAAUGGGCCGGUUAUCAACCUGGAAAGAAGUCUAAAGGCUGAUGAACUGAUCCGCACAGCGACACAGCUGCGCUCUCUUUCCCUCUUCGUCUGGCCAAUCUCUUCAUUUAUGUCCUGAGAUCCACAACUUUCUGCAACUCUGGUGACUGGUUGGCUGCUGUACCAUCAUUCUCGUCCUACUCCUGGGGAUUUC